AAUAAAAUUAAUUAGAAGAGUAGAAACAAUUCGAGAUAGCUCUAUUUUCUCUCUCUAUUACUCUCUAUACUCUCUAUUUUCUCUCGCUAGAACUUCUUGGAAGAUCUGGUUUAGGGUUUUUGUUGGAAGAUUUUGAUUUAAUUUUGUUAUUUUUUGUGGUAUCAAGUUUGUUUAUUAAGGAAAAAGGUGUGUAAUUCUAACAUGUCGAUUUGGGCCAUCUAUGUAUUACAAACUGGAUAAAGGGUUUAUAAAGUGAUGUCAGAUUCGCGAAUUUACGAGCUAGAAGAUAUCGUCUGGGAAUUAGGUGACAAUGACGAUCAUAUAGUGCCUCAACCUGGAGGAAAAAGGAGUGGAUUUUCACUUGAGAGUGACAGUAGUAAGAGUCAACGACUUCAGCUAAGAUGCGCUGUAAAUAAUGCUGACAACAGAAGUGCUUCAGACAAUGUUAUUCAUAGAAAGGAGGGAACCCACUUUUGUUCUGUGAAUGAAGAUAAGGAAAAAAUGAUGGAUAAUAGCCCACGGACCCACUCAUCUAGUGGAGGUUUUUCUGCUUCCCUUGAUGGGGAACGUAAUGGAAAAUUUUCAUGUUCCCCGUCUGAUGAAGAGAGGACUUUUAAACACUGUAUGACAAGUAGUAAUAUGGAUCCUACAGGUGAUGGAAUAUGUGCGGGGGAUCCUGUACUUGAAGAGCGACCAACUUCUAUGGACAAUAACUUGUACCAAUAUGAGCUGAACAAUGCAACUCAUGCGGAAAGUGGCCUUGACUUUUUUGGUAAUAAUCUUGAUGGCAAAGAGAGCAACGAUCUAUUGUACUAUCAAUGGUCUGAGAUAGAAAACUUUGAGGAUGUUGACCGGAUGUUCAGAAACUGUGAUUCAACUUUUGGUCUUGAUAUUGACAAUAAUGUUGAACUGGGCUGGUUUCCAACUUCACAUGCAAUGGAAGGAUCUGAUGAUGCAAUCAAGCCGAGCUUUAACUUUUCAGACUGCAGUACAAGCAGACUAGAUGGUGUGACUGAACAGAAAGAAGUCUUUGGGAUUAACAACAGUUUAGUAGCUGAUGAAAGUGAUGAGAAGCUUACAUUAGUUGCCAGUAAGAGAGUAUCAGAGAAGUUGACUGCAAAUGGCCCUUCAACCAUCAUGAAUUCCUCUAACAAUAAUGGAUCCAGUGUUAUAUCUAGCAUUGACAGUGAAUCACAGAUCCAGUCUAAUAUCAGCCAGCCAAAGCAUCAGAAACCAUCAGAAGGGAAAAGAAAAGAGCGGCCUUCAGAUAAUAUUGUCUCUUUCAUUCAAUUUGACAGCCUAAAUCAGGCAGCGGAAUCAAACCAUUCAUUGAACUUCCAACGUAAUCUCUCGUCCGAAAAUAGUCAACAAAAGGAAGCUUCUCAUUGCACUUCUGCACAGAUACCAAUUUCUUUGGUAAAUCCCAAUAACAGUCGCUCUACUAAUCAAGGUUUACAAAGCACGGCCUCAUCUAUAAUUAAGUCUGAAGAUGGUGGCCUUCCAACAGUACCCCUAAAAAAGUCUUCGUAUGCAUCCAACCAGAUGCAAUCAGUGGAGAGCACUCGUGAUGUUGCUCUCCAGAAUCCUUCAACUCCCAGGAACAAGAAAAAAGACAGGCCAUUUCAAAGCAAAUUAUCUGGACAUCCUGAAAAAGGCAACUUAAUGGUUCAAAAAGUUGAUUCUGAUCCAACUUGUAUACAAAAGCUAUGUGAUCUUGAAAAUGAAGCUGAAGGUCAGAGUGAAGUUGAUGAUGAAGCUGGGAUUGCAACAGAGUUGGACUCAUCUAACAUACAGGAAAGUUCUUGUGUGAGCUCAGUCUUGGAUGAAGUAUCAAUUGAUGCUAGUAGUUUUCAACAAUUACAAAGUGUCAUGGAGAAGCUAGACGUAAGGACAAAAAUGUGCAUAAGAGACAGUCUCUAUCGGCUUGCCAGGAGUGCUGAGCGGAGGCAUAAGUGUGUCAACCCUAUUGGUGGUGACAAAGAUGAUAAAGAUACUAGUGAAGCUUUUCUAUCUGAUGGAACAAAUAAAUGCACAGGAUUUAUGGAUAUGGAAACUGAUACGAAUCCCAUUGAUCGAUCAAUAGCGCAUUUGUUGUUCCAUAGGCCAUCAGACCCGUCUGCAACAGCUCCUUUGGAUGCUCUGCCUGUGAAGGAUCACACUAUGGGUCAGGCACGUAGUCAUGGUCCAUUGAUAGCAGAGAAACCUGCUUUUUGAGAAGAAACUACUUCAGCUAAUGGUGAAGCUGCUGAACACUGAUUUUGAAAGCUGAUGUGCAAACAAAUUGCUCUAUGAGGUCCCUGAGAGCAAGUGGCUUCAGUCCUGAAAGUUUGGCAUACUGUCCUGCAUGUAGUUCUUCAUGACCUGCCCAGUUAUGCAGGGAGAGGACGCGGCAACUUCUUUGUGGCUUAAAAGGCUUGAGUUUCAGACUAUCUGUUUGAGGGAAGAUGCUGAUCAGAAGCCUCCAAAAUACAGAUGGAUUUUAAAUCACUGCAUUCAGCAACUUAUUGUGUACAUUUUUACAUUUGAUUUUUGGCAUCAUAUGUGUACAUUGACUUUAGGGAGAUAACAUGUUCAAAUUUGAAUUUGUUUCGCAAAUGUUCAAAUUUGGCUAGCUAAUGUCUUGUAGUUGUAUUUUGUUGGACUACCCGCUAUAAAAAAUAACCGAGUUAGACAUGCUUA